CUACGGGUUGCAGCAGUGAGGAAUAUUGCACAAUGAGGGGAACCCUGAUGCAGCAACGCCGCGUGGAGGAUGACGCAUUUCGGUGUGUAAACUCCUUUUAUAUGUCAAGAAAAUGACGGUAGCAUAUGAAUAAGCACCGGCUAACUCCGUGCCAGCAGCCGCGGGAAUACGGAGGGUGCAGGCGUUACUCGGAAUCACUGGGCGUAAAGGACGCGUAGGCGGGUUGGAAAGUCAGGUGUGAAAUCCUACAGCUUAACUGUAGAACUGCACUUGAAACUUCUAAUCUAGAGUAUGGGAGGGGGAGAUGGAAUUAGUGGUGUAGGGGUAAAAUCCGUAGAUAUCACUAGGAAUACCUAUUGCGCAGGCGAUUCCCUUGAACAUUACUGACGCUAAGGCGUGAAAUCGUGCGGAGCAAACAGGAUUAGAUACCCGAGUAGUC
rnacentral:rRNA from 1 species